rnacentral:rRNA from 1 species
UACGUAGGUGGCAAGCGUUGUCCGGAAUUAUUGGGCGUAAAGCGCGCGCAGGCGGCUUCCCAAGUCCCUCUUAAAAGUGCGGGGCUUAACCCCGUGAUGGGAAGGAAACUGGGAAGCUGGAGUAUCGGAGAGGAAAGUGGAAUUCCUAGUGUAGCGGUGAAAUGCGUAGAGAUUAGGAAGAACACCAGUGGCGAAGGCGACUUUCUGGACGAAAACUGACGCUGAGGCGCGAAAGCGAGGGGAGCGAACGGG